rnacentral:rRNA from 1 species
AGAGUUUGAUCCUGGCUCAGGAUGAACGCUGGCGGCGUGCCUAACACAUGCAAGUCGAGCGAAGCAUACAGAAUGAAGUUUUCGGAUGGAUUUCUGUAUGACUGAGCGGCGGACGGGUGAGUAACGCGUGGGUAACCUGCCUUAUACAGGGGGAUAACAGUUAGAAAUGACUGCUAAUACCGCAUAAGCGCACAGUACCGCAUGGCAGUGUGUGAAAAACUCCGGUGGUAUAAGAUGGACCCGCGUCUGAUUAGCCAGUUGGCGGGGUAACGGCCCACCAAAGCGACGAUCAGUAGCCGACCUGAGAGGGUGACCGGCCACAUUGGGACUGAGACACGGCCCAAACUCCUACGGGAGGCAGCAGUGGGGAAUAUUGCACAAUGGGGGAAACCCUGAUGCAGCAACGCCGCGUGAGUGAAGAAGUAUUUCGGUAUGUAAAGCUCUAUCAGCAGGGAAGAAGAUGACGGUACCUGAUUAAGAAGCCCCGGCUAACUACGUGCCAGCAGCCGCGGUAAUACGUAGGGGGCAAGCGUUAUCCGGAUUUACUGGGUGUAAAGGGAGCGUAGACGGCGCGGCAAGUCUGAAGUGAAAGGCAGGGGCUUAACCCCUGAACUGCUUUGGAAACUGCCAUGCUAGAGUGCUGGAGAGGUAAGUGGAAUUCCUAGUGUAGCGGUGAAAUGCGUAGAUAUUAGGAGGAACACCAGUGGCGAAGGCGGCUUACUGGACAGUAACUGACGUUGAGGCUCGAAAGCGUGGGGAGCAAACAGGAUUAGAUACCCUGGUAGUCCACGCCGUAAACGAUGAAUACUAGGUGUUGGUGGGCAAAGCCCAUCCCGUGCCGCCGCAAACACAAUAAGUAUUCCCACCUGGGGAGGGCGUUCGCAAGAAUGAACUCAAAGGAAUUGACGGGGACCCGCACAAGCGGUGUAGCAUGUGGUUUAAUCCGAAGCAACGCGAAGAACCUUACCCGGCCUUGACAUCCCGAUGAAUGUACAGUAAUGUGUACAGGACUUCGGUACAUCGGAGACAGGUGGUGCAUGGUUGUCGUCAGCUCGUGUCGUGAGAUGUUGGGUUAAGUCCCGCAACAAGCGCAACCCCUGCCCUCAGUAGCCAGCAGGUGAAGCUGGGAACUCUGAGGGGACUGCCCGGGAUAACCGGGAGGAAGGCGGGGAUGACGUCAAAUCAUCAUGCCCCUUAUGGCCGGGGCUACACACGUGCUACAAUGGCGGAAACAGAGGGAGGCAGCCCCGUGAGGGUGAGCGAACCCCAAAAAUACCGCCUCAGUUCGGAUUGUAGUCUGCAACCCGACUACAUGAAGCCGGAAUCGCUAGUAAUCGCGAAUCAGAAUGUCGCGGUGAAUACGUUCCCGGGCCUUGCACUCACCGCCCGUCA